AUGCAGAAUCCACAAACCGUACAAUGGCUGCAGACGGUAACCUCUCUGGCUGUUCCCAGCUGUACCAUGCUGGGAGCUCUAAGGGACCAUUGAGACAUUU